UGGCGGCAGGCCUAACACAUGCAAGUCGAGCGGUAACAGAAAGUAGCUUGCUACUUUGCUGACGAGCGGCGGACGGGUGAGUAAUGCUUGGGAACAUGCCUUGAGGUGGGGGACAACAGUUGGAAACGACUGCUAAUACCGCAUAAUGUCUACGGACCAAAGGGGGCUUCGGCUCUCGCCUUUAGAUUGGCCCAAGUGGGAUUAGCUAGUUGGUGAGGUAAUGGCUCACCAAGGCAACGAUCCCUAGCUGGUUUGAGAGGAUGAUCAGCCACACUGGAACUGAGACACGGUCCAGACUCCUACGGGAGGCAGCAGUGGGGAAUAUUGCACAAUGGGCGAAAGCCUGAUGCAGCCAUGCCGCGUGUGUGAAGAAGGCCUUCGGGUUGUAAAGCACUUUCAGUCAGGAGGAAAGGGUGUGAGUUAAUACCUCACAUCUGUGACGUUACUGACAGAAGAA
rnacentral:rRNA from 1 species